rnacentral:SRP_RNA from 1 species
GCCGGGCAUGGUGGCGCAUGCCUGUAAUCCCAGCUACUCAGGAGGCUGAGGCAGGAGACUUGCUUGAACCCGGGAGGCAGAGGUUGCAGUGAGCCAAGAUCGUACCACUGCACUCCAGCCUGGGCAACAGAGCGAGACUCUGUCUCAA